rnacentral:lncRNA from 7 species
AGGCUGCGCUGGGUCCACAAUGGGCUUACGCUGAUCCGGGAGGAAGCUACCGUGAGCGUCGGGCCUUAUUAGGCUUUGAAGGAAGGCACGCGAUCGCCUUCCUUUUGGGCUGGAGUACGUUAUGGGCUAGGUGCCGUCUCUAUGGUCCGCGUCCACCGCUGGUGCGUAACAGAAGAACUGAACAACUGAAGAAAAAACCAACAGUUAAGAAAAUAUACGAACUUGUUAAGAACUGAACUUGUUCGCAGGAUAAUCUUAGGAUUAU